rnacentral:rRNA from 1 species
GACAGAGGGUGCAAACGUUGUUCGGAAUUACUGGGCGUAAAGCGCGUGUAGGCGGCCCUGCAAGUCGGACGUGAAAUCCCUCGGCUUAACCGGGGAACUGCGUCCGAUACUGGUUGGCUUGAGUUUGGGAGAGGGAUGCGGAAUUCCAGGUGUAGCGGUGAAAUGCGUAGAUAUCUGGAGGAACACCGGUGGCGAAGGCGGCAUCCUGGACCAAUACUGACGCUGAGGAGCGAAAGCCAGGGGAGCAAACGGG